GGGAAGCAGACUGGACAGAAAGGAACUCUGAGCAGCUAAACUCUGACUAAUCCCAGGGUAUACCUGCAUUUUCUCUUCACCAGAUUUUUCCUACCAGGAAGAGCAUGUGCUGACCAACAGACAUGAAUUUCAGCCUGGUAGUUAUAACAUUCACAGGAGUCUCUUGCCCAGGCCAGAGUGCAGUGGCACAAUCUCGGCUCACUGCAAGCUCCGCCUCCCGGGUUCACGCCAUUCUCCUGCCUCAGCCUCCUGAGGAGCUGGGAUUACAGGCACCCGCCACCUCACCAGGCUGGUCUCGAACUCCUGACCUCAAGUGAUCUGGCUGCCUCAGCCUCCCAAAGCGCUGGGAUUACAGGCAUGAGCCACUGUGCCUGGUCCAUUAAAAACAUUUGUAAAGCUAUGGUGUUGAUAAAGUAUUAUGAAAAACUGCAAAAAAGAUGGCUAAUUUUUAGUUAUUAUUGCACAUGUUUAGAGGAGCUAGUGACAUUUUCUAUGAUUAAUAAAAGUCAUUAUUUAUGUUUUUAUUUAUGUAUUUCACAACAUUUAUUUUAUUUUCUCCAUUUCAGGAAAACCACUAUGUUGUUACAAUAAAGAUUUUCAUGUAAUUUGUGUUCAAUUGAUAGUAAUAAUGUAACAAGUUAAAAAUGAAGGUAAUUGUGUUUAAAAUUU
rnacentral:antisense_RNA from 1 species